UCUCUGGUAGUAUAUCGGAUAGUACAUCCGCCUGUCAUGCGAUUGCUCCGCAGACCGCGGAAGAGCGGGGUUCGACUCCCCGCCAGAGAG